UUCUGACAAAGCCACCACCAUUUUGUAAGAGAUUUUAGCUUCUAAAACUGAUGGGAAAAUCUCUUUUAAAUGGACAUCACCCAGCUAACAGGCGGGGAGGCGAGAUGAGGCGAGAACGGCUUAGUAAACGCGGGGACGUCCCUCCCUAACUCCGUCCCCAGCUCCAGAGGGUCACUUUCUCUUUAAAUGCAAAUCACCUCCCGCCAGCUCCGCUUCCACCCGGUGGAGUUCCCGGGAGGAGAGGGCGAGGGCGGAGGGCCCUUGCACCGAAGCUUCGCUCGAGACCCCAAAGCUCCAGGCCGGAGGCCCAGCCAGCACCCAUGGAUGACAAGAAGAAGAAACGGAGUCCCAAGCCCUGUCUGGCCCAGCCAGCCCAGGCCCCAGGCACACUACGCAGGGUCCCUGUGCCCACCAGCCAUAGUGGCUCCUUGGCCCUGGGACUCCCUCAUCUGCCAUCCCCCAAGCAACGGGCUAAGUUCAAGAGAGUAGGCAAAGAGAAGUGCCGCCCAGUGCUGGCUGGAGGUGCGGGUGGCUCUGCAGGCACACCUCUGCAACACUCCUUCCUGACCGAGGUGACCGAUGUCUAUGAGAUGGAGGGGGGACUACUGAACCUGCUCAAUGAUUUUCAUUCAGGCCGGCUGCAGGCCUUUGGGAAGGAAUGCUCCUUCGAGCAGUUGGAGCACGUGCGCGAGAUGCAGGAGAAGCUGGCCCGGCUGCACUUCAGCCUGGACGUGUGUGGGGAGGAGGAUGAUGAUGAAGAGGAAGAGGAUGGAGUCACUGAGGGGCUGCCUGAGGAGCAGAAGAAGACGAUGGCUGACCGCAAUCUGGACCAGCUGCUUAGCAAUCUAGAAGAUCUUAGUAAUUCUAUGUAUCCUUCCCAAGGGACCUGACAAUGUAUGUGCCUGUGUCUCCCAGAGAAGAGGUCAGUUUCCUCCUCCUCACCAUCCUCCAGGAGAAUUCACACAUAACCAACAUCCCUAAAUUUUGCAGUCCUGCUGCGUUGGAAUUAGCCACAAACUGCCCCCACCCAGGCAGAAACAAGCGCGGGCGAGCGCCCCCUCACCCCAAAACACACCCCACAGUCUGGCUCGGGUGCUCACCAGCUCCUUGGACCUGCGUGAGCUGAUGAAGAGAGAGGGGGUGAGUGACCUAGCAAGGAGGGCAGGUGGGGACUGCAACCUCAGCCCACGGACGAACCCAGAGACCUUUGUCCCGUCCCUGUGCACGGCUGGGGACUCUAAGCCUGUGCGGGAUGGGAGGACAGGGCGGAAGGAAAGACUGGGUCCAAAGCGUCACAAUCCUUAACUG